rnacentral:rRNA from 1 species
UACAGAGGGUGCAAGCGUUAAUCGGAAUUACUGGGCGUAAAGCGUGCGUAGACGGUCAUGUAAGUCGGGUGUGAAAGCCCCGGGCUCAACCUGGGAAUUGCAUUCGAGACUGCGUGGCUAGGGUGCGGAAGAGGGAAGCGGAAUUUCCGGUGUAGCGGUGAAAUGCGUAGAUAUCCGGAAGAACACCGGUGGCGAAGGCGGCCUGCUGGGCAGUUGCUGACACUGAGGCGCGACAGCGUGGGGAGCAAACAGG